UAUUAAUUAUAAUGGACUUUAUUAAGGUUAGUUACAAUUGCUAUUAUGCACAACACUCAUUUUACUUGUAUUCUUUAUUCUAUUUUAUUUUUUUAAGAAAGUACUUCUAGUCUUCCUUCCUCCUAAUCAAACUUACCCCUAAUUUUCACAGAACAACCUCAAUUUUCCUUCGAAAAACCUCAAUUUUCCUUCAAAAAAACCUCUAAAAUUCCUCAUUUUUUCAUAGAGCAACAUGCGCUCUCUGCUUCUGCAGUCAUGCAUUUUGGAAUCGUCCUAAUUGUCGGAUGAUGAUGAGAAAUUGCAGCGCAAGCCCCAUUUUGUCGGGGAGGCUAUCGGAGGGUGGUUGUCGCGAUUAAAGAACAUUUAUUAGAGCGCGCAGUUUUUCGUUUUCCCCCAUUUUAAGGUUCGUCUUUUCCUCCUAUUCUUCUUCCUUUUUGUUUGGUUUAGCUAGAUUUAACUAAUUGACUCUAGUGUUUUCGGAUUCACCUACAUUUUCUGCUUCGUUAUUGAGUUCAUUAUGUUUUUGUUGAUUUUCGUUGUGUAUUGUUUACUCAAAUGAGGUUGUACUGCAUGUGAUUUUAAUUUGUUUUUGUUUUUAAUGUUUUUUGAUUGAUUGGGGUUUUCUGGUUUUUCGUCAUUGAUUUUAGUUGUUAAUUUAGGUGUUUUUGGCUGUUAAGUGCGUGUAAAUAUUAAAGCAAUGGGUAUAAUUAUUAUUUAUUAAAGUUAUGUAUGAUUAUCAUAUUAUAUAUUACAACAAUUUGUUGCUGAAAGUUUGGUUUUCACCCUAAAUUUUGUUUUUUUGUUGUAUUUUUGCUGGGAUGAGGUUUGAUGUAUACUAUUUUAGUUAGAUUUUGGGAAAUUGUCAUAUUAAUUUUGUAAAUUGAUUGAUUUUGUGAUUAAAUUUGAUGGUGAAUAUAUGAAUUAUGAUGUUUUUUGUGUUGAUUUUUCUGGGUUUGUCCCGCCUUUUGAUGGUGUAUAUAUGAAUUAUGAUGUGUUUUUUUGUUGAAUUUUCUAGGUUUGUCCCUUUGAGGUAGGCUUAUGCUGUGCAAUUAUUAAAAUUUGCUAACAACAAUUAUCAAUAUCUUGUCAUAAUACAGAAAUGUAUUCGCUUAUAGUUCCAUUCUCGGAAACUUAUCAAUACACCUCAUUUCAUUUUGAACAUAAAAAAAUUAAUUAAGAAAAUCAUGAAGACCACUAAUAAAACGGGAGAAGUAUACAUGUAAUUGUGGCUAUGCAUCAGCAUUAAUAGGUUGGCAUUUUAGAUUGUAUAGUAAUGAAUUAUUGUUGUUUUAGUGGCGUGUAGAAGUAGCUAGUUUUGUUAGAUAAAAGCUUUACAGUUAUAGUAAGUCAAAGAUAAUAUUCUCAAGAUAAAUUAUUGCACCAUUUUAUAUUGAUAAGUACCUCACCAAUCUUAGCUUAGUAUCCUCUUUUCUAUUGGCUGGAUGAAUGAUAGAAGCUAAGACUUUAUCCUAACUAUUAUAUUAGCAUGUGUUAAUGAGACCAGCUGCUCAAGAUAGAUCCUCGUAACAGGCCUAUUUGGCUUGCUACCAUUGUAGGGGAGGCUAUCGGAGGGUGGUUGUCGCAGGGAGCUGAUUCCUCUCAGAAGUUAAGAUUGUCUGCAAUGAAACUAGGCGGGGUUUUAUGACUUUCCGGUUGCAAACUCGUUCAUGUUAAACUGGAAUUAAAGGAGUUGAUCUACAUUUGAGAUGAUGGGUUGCGAUAUUUUCGAGCUGAUAAAUUGAAGCUUAUAAUUCUUAAAUCGGUGUCUUGUUGAACAAUUUGCUGGGCUGAAAGAUUCGGUAUGGCUCUUCAAUUCAGAUCAUCUAUCGUAAUUCUUACCCUGGACGGGCAUGAGAUCGCCAAGGAGUACCAGUAGGCGACCUCUCCGACAGGUCUAUCGGCACCGCCUGGUUGAACAUGUGUCGAGGCGGGUGAGCAUGGCCGGCAAAGUUAUCCGAGGAGUGCUGGAUAGCCACUCUCUCACCGAGGUACACCAUAGCCUCGUACGUCCCCUGGAAGUAGUGACCCUCGAUAGUGUACUGCGCCAGCGCAGGAACAUCCAGAUCGGCCCAUGGCCGAUACACCACAUCAGGCUCCUACAAAACAUGUCUGUGAGAUAGAAGCCUAGGGCUUUACACUUGUGAGGGUGUAUUAGGAUUUGAAUUCCUAACUGUUUGGGGGACCUUGAAUUAGAAUUGAUCUAGUCAUCACGCUUUU